ACGUAGGGUGCGAGCGUUAAUCGGAAUUACUGGGCGUAAAGCGUGCGCAGGCGGUUCGUUAUGUCGGCGGUGAAAGCCCCGGGCUCAACUCCGGAAUUGCCUUUAAGACUGCAUCGCUUGAAUCCGGGAGAGGUGAGUGGAAUUCCGAGUGUAGAGGUGAAAUUCGUAGAUAUUCGGAAGAACACCAGUGGCGAAGGCGGCUCACUGGACCGGUAUUGACGCUGAGGUGCGAAAGCGUGAGGAGCAAACAGGA
rnacentral:rRNA from 1 species